AGCCCUGAGGUGUUAUCAUGUAAGAUUGCAAAUCUUAAGAAGCAGGCUAAUCCCCUGCCGGGGCUU
rnacentral:tRNA from 1 species